UAACAUGGUGCUGGCAUGCAUGGAUUCUUCAGUGUGUGUCAGAGGUGAAAACAAAUUCUGUGCUGGGAAAUAUAAACCAGAUUUCCUUUUGUUGGCCUGAGGUUGGGAAGUGCAGAGAAGAAGAGAGAGAAGGAAUGCUACAAAUUGAAGCAGAGGUGACUUUUCACAAUAAGACUGCUGUAUGAGGUAGUGUAAGCUCCCGGAGGGUGAAAUUCAGUCUUCUGUAUGGGGAUAAUACAUGACUGAGGUUGAAUUUGAAAUCUCUUUUGAAGACUUUAGGACAUCUACAGCUCUGUUCAUAAAAUCCACUGGCUAGUAGCCCUUGCUUCCCUAUCUUUGCUUGAUUUAAAGUGUUGAAUCCACAUGGACUUGACAGCCAGGAGACGAGGUUUCUCAACUCAUUUAAUCACAUAAUGGAUAAACAGAGAAAGGAAAAUCCAUGACUGAAGCUAUGUUGAUUCAUCAUCAUUCCUCUCCAUUUUCCUGUAGAUGAUAUCUCUAACUUCAGAUCCUAUGACGACUUUUGAAGACCACAGCAUGAAGAGCUAUUGCUCAUAUGAGACCUGACCUUAUUUCCAUGUGGUAUGCAGGACUUCACUGGAUCUGUUAUGAUUGCCAUUUCCUAUUGAACUGUCAUUAUGAACUUGGAGAGAUACCAUCCAGGAUGCAGGUGUUCGGGUCAAAGAAGAGAGGAGGAAGUUCAAAGGCAUUCCCUCCCACCAUUCCUGAUGCCAUAAUACCAGCACACUGUGUCAUAGGAAGUCUCUAAAACGCCCAUGAUGCCACGGGAAUAAAACGGAUAGAUCACAUCCAUGAAGAGAAGAAAUGAUGUAUUUGUGCCAAUGUGUGUUUGACAUCAUCCUUUAUGUUUGGCAUCUAGAAGAAGCAGUGCUUCUCAUGAAAUUUGAAGUUCAAAGUUAGUUGCCAUUUUUUUAAUUACAUGCAGAUGCAUUGCCAGGCUCAUAGAAGGCAAAUGAAGAACUCCUUUACAUAACAACAUGCAGUUAUCUGUAUUUCUUACUAAUUGGUUACAGGGCACGCACAUUUUUAAGUGGAGGUAGAAAUUACUACAUCAAGGAACAUUAUGGCUAGUAACACUUAGUGAUUUUUUCAUCAUAAUCAGCUAAAUAAAAUCAAUGAAUGUAGAUGAUUUCUUUUCUCUCUUUUGUCACUUUACUUAUUUGUAUCUGGAUGCAGGAUACCUCAUUCUUAUAAAUAUAUUAAUAUUGACUUACACUUUCGUCUCUGAUAGCCCAGGUGAUACUGAGAAUGUAUCAAGGCCAAUUAGAAUGUUUGAUUAAUGUUGCUCUGCAGUGUAAUGAAUGCUUCAUAACGGACAUGGAUAUACAGCAAAUUUUCACUUGCAAUAAAUAAAGAUGAAGCAAGAAGCUUUCUUUUCCUCAGUGAUCUUCACUGUCAUAGAGCUUGAAAGAUUAUUCCAGCCCUAUUUUUUUAUUAUGCCAAUGUUAUGUUCAGUUUCAAACAUGGAAAACAAAGAUAAUGCAUUUUGCAUCAGUAUUAUGUGUAGAAACCAUACCUUUGAAACCAAAAAAGUUCUGCCAGUACUUUCACUGGAAACAUAAUCAUUACAAUAAUUACUUGGUUGUAAAAGUAAAGAACAAUAGUUCUGUAAAAUGAUUUCCUCAUCUAGACUCCUAACACAACAGAGGCAUAAUGAUUUUACUUUUCUAAAGCAGUAGCAAUUGGCACGGCAGAAAUACUUUUUGGUGGGAAAUGUGGAACUUAAACAUGCAGCUGUAGCUUAAAUGUGGUAGAGUUUGUUAUGUGUAAAAAAUAAUCAAUUAGUAUUUAUAAAAAAGCUCAUAUGGGGAAUAUUUUGAAAA